UUUUCCGGGAGGGAGAGCGGCGUGGGGCGAGGUGGUUGUGUUGUGUUCUGCGGUGCCGCGUGGAAGGUGCAUGUAAGCCGAGUGUGCUUGAGAGGGCGCUUGAGUGUGUGUGUGCGUGGGGCGUGCAAGGCGAGUGCGUGUGCCUAUUCCUGCGCCCCUCCCUCCCGCCUACACCUUGAUCUUAUUUGAUCUGGUCGUGACCCCAGCCCCGCCGGGUCGACCCGAAAUGAAAAACUUUCCUCCUGCGAAGCCCCUUUUUCGGGGCGCUGUGCAGCGAGGCCCCUUGGGCGGCGGCAAGCCGCGGUCCCCAGGGCCUGGAACCGGUCCGAUGGGGCACGGCGCUCAGAAGUGAUGAAUUGAUCAGAUAGACGAGGCCGGGCUUGUCCUGGGUCACUGAUUAUCGAGGCGAUUCUGAUCUGA
ensembl:snoRNA SCARNA2 small Cajal body-specific RNA 2